rnacentral:misc_RNA from 1 species
GUAGAAGCCGGUUUGCUGGCGAUGUAUACGCCUCGGUGUGUCAGGAGUUCCGAGGUGAUGCAAUCGCCAGCAAGCCGGCUCCUAC